UACAGGGGGUGCAAACGUUGCUCGGAAUUAUUGGGCGUAAAGCGCGCGUAGGCGGCUACUUAAGUCGGAUGUGAAAGCCCUUGGCUCAACUGAGGAAGUGCACCCGAAACUGAGUGGCUAGAGUACGAAAGAGGGUCGCGGAAUUCCCGGUGUAGAGGUGAAAUUCGUAGAUAUCGGGGGGAACACCGGGUGGCGAAGGCGGCGACCUGGGUCGAUACUGACGCUGAUGCGCGAAAGCGUGGGGAGCGGA
rnacentral:rRNA from 1 species